UGGCGCGUGUAUAAAUCGCCUUGGCGACAAUGCCGAAGCAAACCGGUGCGGUGCCGCUUUCCAACGUCCACUUGCUUGCUUCCUUCGUUUCUGUCUUGCCCUUUCACAACCGUGAAAAUGCAAACUGAAUUCAGUCUUUAAAUGCUAUAAAAGAAAACUCCGAAUAGACUCUGCCCCCUCCAUCUCUCCCAUUUCUUCCUUUUAAUGGCCGCCUUUCGCUUACUAACCUCGCCUCCGACAUCUGAUCCGUGCCUUUGCUUCUUCCUUUUUACGCCCUCUAUAUCUUUCUCUCUGUCUCCGUAGCCAUGCACUCUCAUUCUCAUCCUCUGAAGCUUACCCAUUUCCAUCGCCUACGCUUUUCCCGGUUGCCGAAACCUGCUCCUCUUUGCGCGCCCUCUCGCAUUCGAUCCGCUUUACUUUUUCCCCAUGAUCUCAAGUUAAAUGCGCCGAUUGUUCAAACAUCUGGGUGCUGCUUACGACGCAGUCUUGUUCGAUUUAAGGCCUUCGAUGGGGAUUCUGUCGACAUACCAUCCCUUGAUGACGGGAGCGACAUGGAUGGGACAGCUGGAUACGUGCUCUCAUCCAGUGAAGGUGAAGAGAGCGACGCAGAAACUAUGCUAUAUCCAGUAGCCGACGAUGAUAUGCCUAAAGUCCUUGUGUCGACUGAUGAGGCCUUUUCAGCGACUGCCCACCGGUUUGCAAUGCUCGGGAGAAGCCGCAGGAAACGCAGGAUUAAACUUGGGGUUUUAAUCAAUAUUGGACUCAUAAUCUUCUUGAUGGUGCUUCUGUUAUUCGUGGAUUGGUGUGCAUGGCGGAUAGUUAGGCUGCCUUUAGAAACCUUUUACUUGACCCGCCCUUUUCUUAUAUCAGCCAUUCUAGUCUCUUGUGCAGGCUAUGUUUGUGUUCCAUUACUGUAUAGGUUCAGAAUUCAUCAAAUAAUCGAAAAAGAAGGGCCUGCUAAGCACUCCUUAAAAAAGAGAACUCCCACAAUGGGUGGAUUAUUUUUUGUUCCUAUAGGUGUAACUGUUGCCGGAUUCAUUGCUGGUUUUUCUUCCACUGAAGUGUCUGGAGCAGCAACAGCAACUCUAGCCUUUGCUGCAAUUGGGCUACUUGCUGAUAUCUUAAGUGUCAGCAAGAAUCAAAAUAGUGGCUUAUCGGCAUGGACAAAAAUUUUGUUGCAGGUAGCUGUUGGGACCUGGUUUUCAUUUUGGUUGGAUACCACGAGUAUAUCGUCACCUUACAGCAUAAAAAUGUUGCUUCCUCUACCGGGACCAGUAGGACUUGUGUACCUGGGAAGAUGUUAUCUAUUGUUGACUUCAUUAAGUUUUGUGUCCAUGGGAAAUGGGGUUAACUUAACAGAUGGUCUCGACGGACUGGCUGGAGGGACUGCUGCAUUGGCUUUUAUAGGAAUGUCAAUCGCAGUGCUUCCAAUAUGUUCUGACCUUGCUAUAUUUGGGGCAUCAAUGGCAGGAGCCUGCGUUGGUUUUCUUUUGCACAACCGAUACAGAGCAUCUGUAUUUAUGGGGGACACUGGCUCCUUGGCACUUGGUGGAGCAUUGGCUGCAAUGGCUGGUUGUACUGGAAUGUUCUUUCCAUUGUUUAUUUCGUCUGGAAUAUUUGUCAUGGAGGCAUCAACAGUUAUCAUACAGGUAUUGUAUUUUUUCAAGACGACCAAAUGUUUGUGGGCAGCUGGGCGCUGUACAUUCCGAAUGGCUCCCCUUCAUCAUCACCUUGAGUUAUGUGGGAUCGAGGAACCAAUCAUUGUCGCAGGCGCAUACGUGAGAGAGAGAGAGAGUGGGCACUUUUUCUUGCUCCCCAAACGGCACAAUCUUAAGCAACAGACAGUGUAGCUUGAAAUAUAGUGAGAGCGUGGGUAUGUGAACAAAUCGAUCUCUUGGUAACGGCCACUUGUGGUCGUACAGAGGUAGAAGGCUGUGUGAAUUUUUAUUUGGUGGCUGCUGAUACUGGAAUGGAUUACAACAAUGACAAAGUUGCUAUCGAGUGCCAUCUGAGAGAGAGAGAGGCUAGAUUUUGUUUGAAAGAGUGGGAGAAAGAUGAAAUACGACAAAGACAGGGAGGGACCAUGCAGGUGGUGCGGUGGCUUCCCUGGUGUAAAUGAUCCUCCUUCACUUUCACAAGGCGGAAUGACGAAAGGAAGAAAAGAAUCAUUCACUUUCACAAGGCGGAAUGACGAAAAGAAGAAAAGAAGUGAAAAUGGAGGAAAGAAUUUGAGGGAAAUAAAACUGAUGGUAGUUGGUUAUGGAAAUAUCCAGAGGAGAGAGAGAGAGAGAGAGUUAUAGUAAAAUAAUAAAAUAAAGAUUUGCUCAUUGUACAAUAACAAUUAAAUUUGGUUUUAUUUUU